rnacentral:rRNA from 1 species
UACGGAGGGUGCAAGCGUUAUCCGGAUUCACUGGGUUUAAAGGGUGCAUAGGUGGGUUGGUAAGUCAGUGGUGAAAUCUCCGAGCUUAACUUGGAAACUGCCAUUGAUACUAUCAGUCUUGAAUAUUGUGGAGGUCAGCGGAAUAUGUCAUGUAGCGGUGAAAUGCUUAGAUAUGACAUAGAACACCAAUUGCGAAGCAGCUGGCUACUCAUAUAUUGACACUGAGGCACGAAAGCGUGGGGAUCAAACAGG